GACGUAGGGCGCGAGCGUUGUCCGGAUUUAUUGGGCGUAAAGAGCUCGUAGGCGGCUUGUCGCGUCGACUGUGAAAACCCGCGGCUCAACUGUGGGCUUGCAGUCGAUACGGGCAGGCUGGAGUUCGGUAGGGGAGACUGGGAUUCCUGGUGUAGCGGUGAAAUGCGCAGAUAUCAGGAGGAACACCGGUGGCGAAGGCGGGUCUCUGGGCCACUACUGACGCUGAGAAGCGAAAGCAUGGGGAGCGAACAGG
rnacentral:rRNA from 1 species